rnacentral:lncRNA from 1 species
UCUACCUUGGGAUUGUUCAUUGGAAUUUCGGGUUUUGGGGGCGUUCGUUGGAGUUUUGGGUUUUGGAGUUUCUACCUUGGGAUCGGUCAUUGGAAUUUUGGGUUUUGGAGUUUGGGUUUUGGAGGUUCUACCUUGGGAUUGUUCAUUGAGGUUUUGGGGUUUGGAGUUUCGACCUUGGGAUUGUUCAUUGGAAGUUUGGGUUUUGGAGUUUGGGGGUGUUUGUUGGAAUUUUGGGUUUUGGAGUUUCUACCUUGGGAUCGGUCAUUGGAAUUUUGGGGUUUGGAGUUUGGGGUUUGGAGUUUCUACCUUGGGAUCGUUCACUGGAGUUUCUACUCUGGGAUUGUUCAUUGAGGUUUUGGAGGUUCUACCUUGGGAUCAUUUGAUGGGGUUUUGGGUUUUGCAGUUUCUACUUUGGGAUCGUUCAUUGGGGUUUUGGAGUUUGGGUUUUGGGGGUGUUUGUUGGAGUUUGGGUUUUGGAGUUUCUACGUUGGGAUCGUUCGUUGCAGUUUUGGAGUUUGGGUUUUGGGGGUGUUUGUUGGAAUUUUGCGUUUUGGAGUUUCUGCCUUGGGAUUGCUCAUUGGAACUUUGGGUUUUGGAGUUUCUACCUUGGGACCGUUCGUUGGAAAUUUGGGGUUUGGAGUUUGGGUUUUGGGGGUGUUUUUUUGAAUUUUGGGUUUUGGAGUUUCUACGUUGGGAUCAUUCGUUGGAAUUUUGGGUUUUGCAGUUUCUACCUUGGGAUCGUUCGUUGGGGUUUUGGAGUUUGGGGGCGUUCGUUGGAAGUUUGUGUUUUGGAGUUUGGGUUUUGGGGGUGUUUGUUGGAAUUUUGGGUUUUGGAGUUUCUACCUUGGGAUUGUUCAUUGGAAUUUUGGGUUUUGGAGUCUGGGGGUGUUUGUUGGAGUUUUGGGUUUUGGAGUUUCUACCUUGGGAUCAUUGGAGUUUCUACCUUGGGAUCGUUCGUUGGGGUUUUGGAGUUUGGGUUUUGGGGGCGUUCGUUGCAGUUUUGGUGGCGUUUGUUGGAAUUUUGGGUUUUGGAGUUUCUACUCUGGGAUUGUUCGUUGGAAGUUUGGGUUUUGGAGUUUGGGUUUUGGGGGCGUUCGUUGGAGUUUUGGGUGUUGGAGUUUCUACCUUGGGAUUGUUUGAUGGGGUUUUGGGGUUUGGGUUUUGGGGGCGUUUGUGGGAAUUUUGGGUUUGGGAGUUUCUACAUUGGGAUCGUUCACUGGAGUUUCUACCUUGGGAAUGUUCAUUAGAAUUUUGGGUUUUGGGGGCGUUCGUUGGAAUUUUGGGGUUUGGAGUUUGGGUUUUGGAGGUUCUACCUUGGGAUCGUUCAUUGGAAUUUUGGGUUUUGGAGUCUGGGUUUUGGGGGUGUUCGUUGGGGUUUUGGGUUUUGGGUUUUGGGGGCGUUAGUUGGAAUUUUAGGUUUUGGAGUUUCUACCUUGGGAUUGUUCAUUGGGGUUUUGGGUUUUGGGGUUUGGGUUUUGGGGGUGUUUGUUGCAAUUCUGGGCUUUGGAGUCUCUACCUUGGGGUCGUUCACUGGAGUUUCUACGUUGGGAUUGUUCAUUGGAAGUUUGUGUUUUGGAGUUUGGGUUUUAGGGUGUUUAUUGCAAUUUUGGGUGUUGGAGUUUCUACCGUAGGAUUGUUCGUUGGAGUUUCUACCUUGGGAUCAUUCAUUGGGGUUUUGGAGUUUGGGUUUUGGGGGCGUUCGUUGGAAUUUUGGGUUUUGGAGUUUGGGUUUUGGGGGCGUUCGU